GACGAACGCUGGCGGCGUGCUUAACACAUGCAAGUCGAACGGAAAGGCCCUGCUUUUGUGGGGUGCUCGAGUGGCGAACGGGUGAGUAACAAGUGAGUAACCUGCCCUUGACUUUUGGCUAACUUCAGCAAACUCGGGCUAAUACCGUAUAGUACCUCCUGCUGCAUGGUGUGGGUUGGAAAGUUUCGGCGGUUGGGGAUGGACGCGCGGCUUAUCGGCUUGUUGGUGGGGUAGUGGCUUACCAAGGCUUGGACGGGUAGCCGGCCUGAGAGGGUGACCGGCAACAUUGGAACUGAGAUACGGCCAAGACUCCACCGGGGGGCAGCAGUGGGGAAUAUUGCAAAAUGGGGGGAAGCCUGAGGAAGCAAGGCCGCGUGCGGGAUGACGGCUUUCGGGUUGUAAACCGUUUUCGCAUGUGACGAAGCGUGAGUGACGGUAAUGGGUAAAGAAGCACCGGCUAACUACGUG
rnacentral:rRNA from 1 species